CAGAAAUAGCUGCUUUCACUUCUGUGAUGGUGUAUGGGCCCUGCACAGAAACAGGAACUGAAGUAAGGUUAAGCAGGGUGUAAAGGAACAGUGUUUGGUAAAAGAAGGGAGAAACACAUGACCUAGCCAAGUCUAACUGCAGGGCAGCAUACAUAAGCUGUUGCUAUGUCCUCAAGAAAACAAGGGCCUGGGGAAACAGCCCAAGGCUGAGGUGCAUGAAGCACGGGGCCCAUGAUCCAGCCUAAGUCCCGCUGUCCCCAUAGACAGAGCUCUAGGAUCACCGUGGCCUUCCUCCUGCCCUUGUGAGACUGAAAUAUGCAGCAGAGCUGUAGGACAUAGUUCAUUGUUUAUCAAGGGUAAAUACAGUUCUGGAUGGGAACAUGGAGGUGGAAAGUUCUGCACACAGCGCUUGCUUGCAUGUUGUGGCUUGCUGCUUGGACAAAACAGGACUCUUUGUCUUUUUGUAACACUGCUGCAUGGGAGAAACCCCUCGCUGCAGUUUGGGAGCAUGCCCUGGUUCUACCACCUUCAAAGGUGACUAUUCAAAAUGCACUGCCAGCCCUAGAAGGGAACCUUAUCAUUGCUGUGCAGCCUGGACCCCAUGUGUUGCCAAUAGUGCAUAUAGGAGGUGCUUCUGUCUCCAUGAGGUCACACUGUACUCGUGCUUGGGGAGGGUGCUGUACUGGUGCUUGGGGAGGGUGCGUUUGGUGCCUUUGGUGUUGUGUGGCUGGUGUUAAAAGCAGAAAAUUCAAGCACAACUGGUUAAAGAAUAGUUCUAAGAAGGGCAGGGGGUCAGUUUGAAGAUUUCACAGGAAAGCAAGAAUUAGAAUCAAAAUAAAGAAAACUGAGAGGGAAGAUAACA
rnacentral:lncRNA from 1 species